UUGUUGCCUCGGCGGAUCAGCCCGCUCCCGGUAAAACGGGACGGCCCGCCAGAGGACCCCUAAACUCUGUUUCUAUAUGUAACUUCUGAGUAAAACCAUAAAUAAAUCAAAACUUUCAACAACGGAUCUCUUGGUUCUGGCAUCGAUGAAGAACGCAGCAAAAUGCGAUAAGUAAUGUGAAUUGCAGAAUUCAGUGAAUCAUCGAAUCUUUGAACGCACAUUGCGCCCGCCAGUAUUCUGGCGGGCAUGCCUGUUCGAGCGUCAUUUCAACCCUCAAGCACAGCUUGGUGUUGGGACUCGCGUUAAUUCGCGUUCCUCAAAUUGAUUGGCGGUCACGUCGAGCUUCCAUAGCGUAGUAGUAAAACCCUCGUUACUGGUAAUCGUCGCGGCCACGCCGUUAAACCCCAACUUCUGAAUGUUGACCUCGGAUCAGGUAGGAAUACCCGCUGAACUUAAGCAUAUC
rnacentral:rRNA from 1 species